rnacentral:lncRNA from 1 species
GGAGCCAACGUCCGGUGGACACUUCGAACAGUGCCCCCCACUUGGGGCUGGUUUACACCGGGCCGUCUUAUCGAGCCCUCCCUGGCGCCCAGGUUCUGAGGACCGUGCGUACACCUGCUGUGUGCCAGCUCGUGCCGUGCGCCCGGGGAGGAGAAACACUGAGCUCCUGUCCUCCUGAGGGAGAGGACAGUAAACAGAUGAGAAUGACUCAGAGUCACAUUGUAAGAUUUGGUGAGCACUUAAUAUCUGUUAGGCGCCGGGCCGGGAGCUAGAUGCAGCAUUUCCUGUACUCUCAAUAACCCAUGAUGUUGUCUCCUCCUGAGCACCCCGCUCAGAGUUGCCCCCUCCCCCAGUCACUGUGACAUCACCCUGCUUUGUGUUCGCGGUGCCGGUCAUGGGCGAUGAACUUGCAGUCUGCGUCUCCCCCACCAGAAGACAAGCUCCUGAGGCCCAGACUUGCUUUGUUCACAGUAGACGCUCGUUUACUGAGUUACUGCUUGCUGAGGAAAUUAAGCUCCGUUACAGGCUUUUACUUACCUCCGCAGGGAGCCGCCUUAGAGGCCACGGAAGGACCCUGAAGCGAGCGGAGAGGGGCGCUAAGAUCCCCUCUAGAUGUCUUUCAGAGGCAACAUCCUACCCUGGUUAUCUGAAAGUUGAAGCGCUGAACUCCUCAGCGGCCUGUCAUCCCGUCAUCUCAGCACCCACUGCAAGGUGUGCCUGACAAGCAGCUCUCCCCUGAGUCUUCCUUGACCCCUGGGGUGCCGCACAGAGCUGGUUCCCCAGCUGGGCUUUGGAAAAAUCCACUCGGAAC